CGUGCAGGCGGCUUCGCAAGCCGGAUGUGAAAGCCCCCGGCUCAACCGGGGAAGUGCAUUCGGAACUGCGUAGCUUGAGUCCGGAAGAGGGUGGUGGAAUUCCCGGUGGAACGGUGAAAUGUGUAGAUAUCGGGAGGAACACCUGUGGCGAAGGCGACCACCUGGUCCGGUACUGACGCUGAAACGCGAAAGCGUGGGUAGCAAACA
rnacentral:rRNA from 1 species